UACGUAGGGUGCGAGCGUUAAUCGGAAUUACUGGGCGUAAAGCGUGCGCAGGCGGCUUUGCAAGACAGAUGUGAAAUCCCCGGGCUCAACCUGGGAACUGCAUUUGUGACUGCAAGGCUAGAGUACGGCAGAGGGGGAUGGAAUUCCGCGUGUAGCAGUGAAAUGCGUAGAUAUGCGGAGGAACACCAAUGGCGAAGGCAAUCCCCUGGGCCUGUACUGACGCUCAUGCACGAAAGCGUGGGGAGCAAACAGGAUUAGAUACCCCCGUAGUCC
rnacentral:rRNA from 1 species